UGUAAAAUAAUAAAAUUACAACUUACGGUAUUUUUUAGUGCAAUUCUGUAAUUAAUUUUACUACUGUUUCGCUAUUACAACAUUCGAGCCCUAGUUAUAACUUUUAACUAUUAGCUUCUAUUGUAAAAACUCCUACCCAAAUGUGUACUAUCGAGAGGACAAUCGAUUUGAAUUUGGGUGCAAAUUACAAUACAUAUUUAAUAUUUUUUAUUAUCUACCUUUAUUUUGUUGCAAAAUACACAUGUUCUAUACAUUUUGGAUCAAUUUUGGUGCAAAUGUAAUACAGCCUUUAAAUCAACUCUUCAUCCAGACUUCAUCAAGUAGGUUCGUGAUACAUUUAUAGUUAGCCGAAAAUCUUUCGGACGAUCCGAUGAUGCUUGAAAAUUUAUAUGUCACUGGACUAUCGAGAAAAACUUACAUUAACGAUAUAAACAUAUAACAAUACAUUCGCAUAAAGAAGGUGGCCAACUAAAAAGAAAAAUAAGUAACUGGUGUAGUAAUGGCAUAGAAGCUAUAGAAACUUCUCAUAAAAAUUCGAUACGCGAUGCAAAUUAAUUGAACUUAAAAUUGCAAAGUAAUAAUUCGGAUUUGCCUAAUAGUGGCAAUAACGAACAAGGAUAAAAAUAAUUAUUAUGAAUAAUUGAUUGGAUGCAAUUUUAGACCUGCAUUAAACAAAUCCAUGCAGUUUACAUUUACGGUGUUCAAGAAGAUGUAAAUCCACGGGCAUUAAAUCUGUUACGGGCAACGCCGUGCAGGAUCAAGUAGUAUUUUAUUAUAAUUUAUUAUUCAGUGACUAGUGUUAAGGCGUAACUGUACGCAACCAAUCGUGCAUACAUGCGAGAAAUGUAUAGUGCGUAAUUUUAAAGGAACUAAUGUUUCAAUCUGAAUACAAAAUAAUAUGCAUAUUACAAUAUUUUGAUACUUUUUUUUAUAUAACUACAGUGUUGAUUUUUAAGGGGCCUUUGAAUGUGAUGAAUUACUUUAUUUUUAAAUUAUCUUUAAUAUUUUAGAAAAAAUACAAUUGAAUACUAUGUCAAUCGCAAAAGUUUCAUUGCCAUAAUUUAUCGGCACAUCCCACGCAGUGUCGUAGCCAGGGGGUUUGGAAGGUUUAAUUCACUUUCUUGGCUUUUUUAAAAAUAAUAUUUUAAAUAUGCACAGUUAUUGUUAACUAUGUGACUGUUUGAAUAUAAUUCAGCAAUGUUUCACACUUAUCAUAUUAUUGACAUAAAUCAAAAUAUGAAGUAAUUAAAGGACUAUCCUAACUGACUAAUGCGAUUUUGGUACGUUGGUAUUAUUAUUGAAGAACGACAUAUCAAGUUAUUAAAAGUUUAUAUUUUCUCUAAAUUAAAUGUUUUGCUUGUACAUAGUUAUAAAAAUUAUAAAUUCCAAAACAAAAUAAUUUGACUUAUAAAGACUUAUAUCAGGGCAAACAGUUUACUUUUGCUCCGCUCAACACUUUCUAAAUUUUUAAAACGGUCCUGGGUGUUUUGCCUACAACGAUUUUUUAUAACACAAUACUCAUAAGCAGGGUUGGGAUAUUAUUACAUUUGCAUAAUUUUUAUACAAUACUCAAUAACAAAUAUGUAAUAAUAUAGUACACUUAAAAUCUAUUUCAUGAUUCAGAGCACUGAAACUAAAAAUUG